UCUCCCGUGAGGGAGCAGUCUCGCCUGAGAAUAUAACAGGCAACGGGGGUUGCGUUCGUUACCCCACUGAAGGGAACAGUUCAAACCACGAACUGACGACGACCAUGCAUCACCUGUGCAGCACCCUCGAAGGCUCCCAACGUUUCUGCUGGGAUGCAGCUGCAUUUCUAACCUUGGUAAGGUUCUUCGUUUGCCGACGAAUUAAGCCACAUAAUCCACCGCUUGUGCGAGUCCCCGUCUAUUCCUUUGAGUUUUAAGCUUGCGCUCGUACUACCCAGGCGGCUCGCUUACCGCGUUAGCUUAGUCCCGCAGAGGGUCGAUACUCCGCAGAACGAGCGAGCAGCGUUUAGGGCUAGGACUAC
rnacentral:misc_RNA from 1 species